UCUCUGACCUGUUCUCGGAACGUGUUAACCUGCUUUCUGAUCUAACUGACGGUGCAAGUAGUCAUUUAACUGCAGGUCAGCACAUAUCUAUGUCCAUUUAACUGGUGGCGCACUGGUCCUCCUGGGCAGCAUCGCAGUCGGUGACCCUGCCGAGUGGCGUGGUGGAGCGGCCCUUGGCCGGCUAGCACAUCACGAGCGGCUGUGGCGUGUGAAAUCCUUAAGGAUUGUAACCGUCAGGGGAAUAGAUAAGAGACCAUGUCUGUUUGACCUUUUGGUACUGUGUUUUAUACAGAAUGGCAAGGAUAGGCCAAAAAUCAUGGAUAUGUUAUAUAGUCCUUGUUCAUACUUGGGGACUCCAGUAUGAUGGAUUGUGCUUGCUAACGAUACUAUUCUUUCUUGUAUUGCAGAUUAUCAAGACAUUCCUGAUCACAUUAAACCAGCAUAGUAAGCUAUCAGAUUUCUUAGUUACACUGACGUAAGUACAACUAUUGGUCAUACUUCGCCCAUGGAGUUGGAUGAAGCAGGUUACACUGGUGGCAGAGAUCUCAUAGCAUGUGUGCACGGUACCACCCAUAGUGAAUCAUCAGUAACUAAGGCAGCCAGACCCACCAGAUUUCAGAGAAAGGUACAAAACAAACCUAUAAGCAUGCUAAAGGCAUCAAUGGAUAUAUAUACGAGGUAUGAACAUGACAAUUGAUGAAGGCCGUGAUGGUGGUAUAUGCACACGUGGGAGUUGGCUUAUUGAUCUCCCAGCAAUUGGGAAUGAUAAAUGGUGAAGGCUUUUAUGCAAGUUCUGUCCUUAGUAGGUACUUAAAUAUCGUGAUCAUUGUGUUGUCCCUUCCUAACAAUUCUGCAUCAUAUCGAUUGGCAUUAUGCAGGUUUGUGAUACACUACUUUCC
rnacentral:rRNA from 1 species